rnacentral:rRNA from 1 species
UGCCUAACAGCUAGCCCACCCAAACAAUUUCAACAAACCCCUGUUAAUAACCCCCAAGUACCCCAGUAUUUAUUUUAAACAAACCAUUUUUCCCCCUUAGUAUAGGCGAUAGAAAAGGGCCCACGGCGCAAUAGAGAAAGUACCGCAAGGGAACGCUGAAAGAGAAGUGAAACAACCCAGUAAAGCCUAAAAAAGCAGAGAUCUAAACUCGUACCUUUUGCAUCAUGAUUUAGCAAGUGUAACCCAAGCAAAGCGUACUUUAGUUUGACGUCCCGAAACUAGGUGAGCUACUCCAAGACAGCCUAUCAAUAGGGCGUACCCGUCUCUGUGGCAAAAGAGUGGGGAGAGCUUUGAGUAGAGGUGACAAACCUACCGAACCUAGUUAUAGCUGGUUGUCCAAGAAAUGAAUAGAAGUUCAGCCUUUCAGCUUCUCUUUUCACCUUAGUCUGACCCCUAUUGAUGCAUUAAAGAAACCGAAAGAGUUAGUCAAAGGGGGUACAGCCCCUUUGAAUCAAGACACAACUUUACCAGGAGGGUAAAGAUCAUAAUAAUUAAAGCUAAAUGUUCUGGUGGGCCUAAAAGCAGCCAUCCCCUUAGAAAGCGUUAAAGUUCAGACAUGCGACCAUACUUCUUAUCCUGAUCACUUAAUCUUACCCCCCUAACCGUACUGGACCAUCCCAUGCCAACAUGGGAGUGACUAUGCUGAAAUGAGUAAUAAGAGAGCUACCGGCUCUCUCCCUGCACACGUGUAUAUCGGAACGGACAACCCACCGAACCUUAACGGCCCCAAAUAAAGAGGGCAGUGGAUGUUAGACCAAAAAACUAGAAAAAUAUCCAAAAACCAACCGUUAAACCCACACAGGUGUGCCCCCAGGGAAAGACUAAA